CGUUUGAUCAACAAAAUCUUGAGAAAGUUCUUCUAAAGCAACAAAAGGAUCACUUCCAUCCCAAAUGCUGUACACUGUGUCACCUAGACGCUUAAAUAUCUCUCUUUGAACUUCAACAUUACUACAUUUCUUGAUGAUAUUUCUGAACCAUGAUCUACGAAUACGCCAAAGUGAAAAUAGGUAUUAGUACAUUUCUUGAUGAUAUUUCUGAACCAUGAUCUACGAAUACGCCAAAGUGAAAAUAGGACCGGACAUGAAAAUACCUCCCUGAAAAGACAUCAAGAUC
rnacentral:lncRNA from 1 species